rnacentral:rRNA from 1 species
UACGUAGGGAGCAAGCGUUGUCCGGAAUCAUUGGGCGGAAAGCGCGCGUAGGCGGCCCUGUAAGUCCGCUGUGAAAGUCAAAGGCUCAACCUUUGAAUGCCGGUGGAUACUGCAGGGCUAGAGUCCGGAAGAGGCAAGUGGAAUUCCUGGUGUAGCGGUGGAAUGCGCAGAUAUCAGGAGGAACACCAACGGCGAAGGCCGCUUGCUGGGACGGUACUGACGCUAAGGCGCGAAAGCGUGGGGAGCGAACAGG